AUUGAACGCUGGCGGCAGGCCUAACACAUGCAAGUCGAACGAGUGGCGGACGGGUGAGUAAUGUCUGGGAAACUGCCUGAUGGAGGGGGAUAACUACUGGAAACGGUAGCUAAUACCGCAUACCAUCAGAUGUGCCCAGAUGGGAUUAGCUUGUUGGUGGGGUAACGGCUAACCAAGGCGACGAUCCCUAGCUGGUCUGAGAGGAUGACAAGCCACUCUGGAACUGAGACACGGGCCAGACUACUACGAGAGGCAGAAGUGGGGAAUAUUGCACAAUGGGCGCAAGCAUGAUGCAGCCGUGCGGCGUGUAUGAAGAAGGCAUUCGGGGUGUAAAGUACUUUCAGCGGGGAGACGUUACCAGCAGAAGAAGCACCGGCUAACUCCGUGCCAGCAGCCGCGGUAAUAC
rnacentral:rRNA from 1 species